UACGUAGGGUGCGAGCGUUGUCCGGAAUUAUUGGGCGUAAAGAGCUUGUAGGCGGUUUGUCGCGUCUGCUGAAUAAAGUCCGGGACCUCACCGACUGUGGUGGAUACGGGCAGACUAGAGUGUGGUAGGGGAGACUGGAAUUCCUGGUGUAGCGGUGAAAUGCGCAGAUAUCAGGAGGAACACCGAUGGCGAAGGCAGGUCUCUGGGCCACUACUGACGCUGAGAAGCGAAAGCAUGGGGAGCGAACAGG
rnacentral:rRNA from 1 species